rnacentral:lncRNA from 1 species
GGGGCGAGGCAGCCCGCCGGCGGGAGGCGCGGGGUCGCCUCGCUGGCUGGCGUGAGGUGGGGCCACUCCGGGUGCCCCCGGAUGUCCCCGGGCUGCCCUGUCGCGCGGCGGACCCGCAGGGCUCUCCGUGCUCCCGGCCUUCCCCGCGGCUGCCUUUCGAGCGAAGCCUGUUCAGCUGAAGAACGGGAAAGGCCCGGGCGUUACGUAAGGGCCUCCCCGCGGGCGAGACCGGGACCUGAAGCGACCGCGGCGACUUCUGUGAUCGCCGGGUCCCCCAGCCCCCACCCCCCCGCGUCCCGCCACAGACCUGUCGAGGACGAAGUGCGGAAAUUUCCACUAAUUUCCUCAGUGGAGCGGCUCGUGUCGUUUUUGUGGUUGCUAAACGAAAAGCUGUUUUCCUGCUCUGCAGAGCUGCUUGAGUUGAUCAGUGAGUAGGAUCACUUAAAUGGAGUCACCGGCCUAAUAUCUGCUGAGGAACCAGUGCAUAGAUUCCUUCUUAGAGGUCUUUAUGCCCCCUUCAGAAACCAAGUCCUCUUCAAAGCCAGGACUGUAAACUUGAGCUUCUCACCAGUCCCGGUAGGUGGUCCUUAAAUCGGGCUGGGCUGAAGGUUCUUAAACGAGGAAAAGUGCUUUCCUCUGCUGAUGCCACACAUUUCUGCUUAGCAAGUUCUUAUGCGCAAAGCGCGUGAAAAAUUACUGGUAACGCAGGACAGAUCGAGUUCCGCACGAGACAGCUAAGGGAACACUAGUAAAAGGUCGUGCCGCGCGCGCUCCAGCAUCGCCCCGGAUUCGUUCAGACUAAAAAGUGACUGCAGGGCUACCGUGUUUUGUGCUAGAGUCAGUGAUCCUAAUAUUUGUGGUCGCUACAUCUUUUUUGUUUGUUUGCUAAAUGUUCUAUAGUUGGGCCGGGGAUUUAGCUCAGUGGUUCCGCCGCCUGCCUCACAAGCGCAAGAUCCCGAGUUCAAUCCCCGGUACCAAAAAAAAAAUUUUUUAAUUAAAUAUUGCAUAGUAAUGGAUCCGCACAAGGUCUUCGUGGGGUCUAAAGUACGGUAUGUCAAGUAAAAUAAAGCAACAAGAUAACGGAGGCCAAGCAUUUAGAGCAGUUUAUAUACUCGGAAGCUUGGCAAAUGGGAAGUUUCAAACGUCAAGUGUUGACUGUCUUCUGCUUUGACGCCUGUGUCAUAGUACUCAGGCCAGACGUGGGAGUACACUGAAGCUGAAGCAGGAGGGUCACAGUGAGUUCGAGACAAGCCUGGGCUACGUAGCAAGACUCUGUCUCCAAAAAGCCCCAAAAUAAUAAUGCUCAGAUCACACUAUGGGAUAAGUAGUUAUUCCCAUUGUGCAGAUGCAGACUCUCUGGCUUACUUAGGUAGGUGCUGCAGCUGAGACUAAAACGCAGGUCACCUGACACACUGCCGGAUUCUUUCCUGAGUAGCCCAGCUACUGUAGUAAAAAUGUGAUAAAUGCAAGGAGUGCUACCAAGCCAAAGGAGGAGGGAACCCAACCAAUAGAUUGUGAGAGGUUCCUCAGGCUGAGCUUUCACCAUGAUUCUCAGCAAGCAGAGUACCUGAAGGUUUCCUUGUAGAUUUCCUGAGCAGACCACGCCCUGCCCUUAGGGAAGUAGAGCCAUGGAUGGAAAUAACCAGGGUUCAGGCAGACAUUCCUGGAAAAGUCAGGUUGGUGCUUCCCUGGGAAAGGCACACCUCUGUAGUCCCAGCUACUUGAGAGGCUGAGGCAGGAGGAUCACUUGGCAAGAGGCCACUGCUGCCAUCCUCACUUUGACCCCAAAGUGUUUAGGACCAGCCUGGAGUACACAGCAAGAACCAGUCUCCUAAUAAAAUAAAAGAUAUACAAGGUGUUAGCUCAGUGGUAGAGCACUUGCAUAGCAUGCCCUAGGCCUUGGAUUUGAACCUCAGCAGUAGGAAAAAAUUUAAAUUUCUGUAUAUGUAUCUAUAUUAAGUACAUAUCCAUAAAUACAUAUAUAAGCCAGACUUGGUGGCACGCACCUGUGUGCCCAGCACUCUAGGAAAUUGAGGCAUGAUUGCAAGUUUAACCCCCGCCUUGGUAACUUGGUGAAUCGUGGUAGCAAGAACUUCUCUUGAAACAAAAGGGGUGGGGAUAUAGCUCAGUGGAGAAGCCUUAACUGUACACACACAGUAUAUAUGGUUAAAAACAAAGCUGGGGGACUUUGUAAUUUGGAUGAAUUCUCCCUUUGAGGAUAACUAGAAAGGUUGGACAAAGCAUUUCUGCAUUUGCUCAAAGUCCCAAGAGAGUGAAGGAAAUGUUGCCGCCGUCCCCGCUGGAGCCCACAGACCUGCUGAGCUGGGGAGCAAAGUCCUGUGUUGUGCGACAGACCCUUUGUCCCCAGGGCUGGGCACCGGGCACAAAGAUACUCUGAGACGCCCAAGGUUGAGCAGUUCCUCUCACAGCCUCAGAGCUAAGAGAAAAAAAAUCAAUGUCCAAGACUCCUCAGUGCAGCGAGGAGCCCCAGUGAACCCCUCUUUUGUGUAGAGCCCUGAAGGGCUAUAUCCCUGAAGCAGCCACCCCUUAAACAUAGCCUACUUUUCCCAAAAGCGGACCUGGAGACUAGCCUCUGGCUGUGAAUAGUCUGUCUAGAAAACGAUGCAGGGAGCUGGGCGUGGUGGUGCACACCUGUCAUCCCAUCACCAGAGGCCGAUGCAGGAGGAUCACAGUGAAUUCAAGGCCAGCCUGGACUACAGAGUGAGACCCUGACUCAAAACAACAGAAAGAAGAGAGAGAGAGAUGAAGAUAGCAGGAAGCACCACAUGGAAGUUAAGAAAGAAAUACAGGGAAUGGAGAAAACCCAAGAGCAGAUGUCUGGAUCUCCCUGUGAAGUCUACACGGGCCUCAAACUUGCAGCGACCCUCCCACCUCAGCCACCUGGGUGCUGGGACCACAAGCAUGCAAUAAAAAUUAAGUAGUAAAGAAAAUGAAACACUCCCAUAGACUGCCCCAAAGGUGCCUCCUCCAGGCACCUGUUCCCUGUGUAAAGUUAGGAAGGCUGUGGUGAAGCACCCCAAGGAUCUAGUUUCAGGUCUGCAGUGAGCGACCUGACCCCUGGUUCCUCUCAGCUGCUGCUAUUGCUGCUGCUGCUCCUCAUCCUCCUGAUUUGUUUGGUUUUUUUUUGAGGCAGGGUCUUGCUGUGUAGUUUAGGACUCCCUUGAACUUAGAGAUCCUGCUGCCUCAGCCUCCUGAUUGCUGGGAGCUCAGGCAUGCACCACUGCAGCGGCUCAGGUAUUUAUUUAGUGACUGUUGACUGGUGUGAAUGGAACCCUCCAGACCGUGUGUUAUCUGUUGGCCGAGGUUCUUGAGCGCCUCCUCCGUCUGUCCUGUGGGCGGUACCAUGCCUUGUUACCAGCACCUGCUCAUGCUGCUGCAGUGAGCUCAGAAACAGCAGUGACAGUGGACCAACCUGCCGCCCUGUGACCAGAAAUGGGCAGCAGGUUUCACAGAAAGGCAAUGACAGGGCACAGGAUAGACCGGCGGUGUCACAGGUGCCACCGUUGGGGCUGUAGCCAUGGACUGGAAAAGAAACUGCAGCGUACCAGUGUGACAGGGACCUUGGCCCAGCACGGCUGUGACUCCCAAGCAGGGACACCAGGCAUUGUGAGGAGUGUCGCCUUCAGACAUGGGGCGACGGAAGCAACCUCGAAGGAUGCGAGUCCUCCCGUCCGCUGUCCACAGUGUGGGGAAGCGAUGUCAGGGAGAAGAGGAAAAGCCCGCACGCUUAUCUUCCCUUCCUUUCCUCCUCUUUAUUCUCCUCUGGUACACAAGGAGGGAAGGUAAGCAAGUAAGUGCAGCCCGCUGUGGUGGGCACCCCUGUGAUCCAGCACUCGGGAGGCUGAGGCAGAAGGGUCACCGUGGGUUUGAGCCCAGCCUGGGCUAUAUCGAGACCCUGUCUCAAAAAAAAAAAAAAAAAAAAAAAACUUGUAAGAGGCUGUGUCCUCAACUCCUGUGAAUCUAAGCCGUGGGCUGGGCCUGGAGAGAGUACGUGGCAGAACAUGCUUAGCAUGUGUGAGGCCCUGGGAUCUGUGCCCACUGCAGAACGCAAUCAAGAGAAAAUGAGGAUGAAACACAGCCUCAGUAGAAGCAAUUACUGUAGAGUUUUAAAAAAUGUAUUUUAUUUAAAAUGAACCUCGGGGGCCAGGGAUUUACCUCAGUGGUUCCACCACCCACCUUGCCAGCACAAGGUCCUGGUUUGAUUCCCAGUACCCCCCCCCAAAAAAAAUAUGAUAUAAAAUGAACCUCAGGCUGGGGAGGUAGCUUAGUGGCACUGCACCUGCCUGGCAAGCGUAAGGUCCUGAGUUUGAGCCCUGGUACGGGGUUCUGGGUGGGGAGACAGUAUGGUUAAAACGAACCUGAAAAAGGAGAUGGGCCUGGCGACACACACCUGUAAUCCCAGCACUCCAGAGGCUGAGACAGGAGGAUCACUGAGAGUUUGAGGCCAGCCUGGGCUAUGUAGUGAGUUCAAGGACAGCCAGAACUACAAAGAGAGACCCAGACUCAAAAAAAAGAAAAGAAAACAUGACCUUAUUCACACAGCUAUAAUUAAACAAUAGCUUGCUAGGUCAUUGUGGCCUGUUUAUCACUUGGCUUGUUUAUUUUUUAUGAGAUAUUUUGCUACUUAAGGAAGUGACCUUCAACAGCCUCCUAACCUCUAUAAACCUCCAUUUCCUCGUCAAUACACAAAGAUGGUUGUGCCUACUUCACUGAGUUCCUGAGGUGUAACAGUGAUUUUACAUAGAUUACCUGGCACUUCAUAGUGAAUUGUUUGCUGGAUUAAAAGAAUCACAGUCUUGGAAGCAGCCCAUGUGUCCACUGACAGAUGAAUGGAUAAAGAAAACGUAUUUACACACAGUGGAGUACUACUGUGCCAUAAGGAAGUCAUCUGUGGGAAAAUGAAUGCACCUCGAGACCAUAAUGUUAAGUGAAAUAACUCAGGCACAUGAGCUUUAUUAUCACAUGGCUCUCUUGCAUGAGAAACCCCAAACAUGAACAAAAUAAAAGAUAAUAGGAAAUAGGGAGUUAGGUUUUGCAGAUGGGAAAGGAACCAAGAGGUGGAGAGGGAAGGAGAGUGAGGAAGGUGAUGGGAAAAGAAUGAAGACGGCCCGGAUUUAGCUCGGUGGAACUGCGCCUGCCAUGCAAGCGCGAGGUCCGGAGUUCAAUCCCCAGUACCAAAAUAAGCAUGAAGAUGUUAGGGACCUGUACUGCAACAUGCACUAAUAGAGGGACAGUGAUGAAUGUAAUCAUUAUGUACUGCAAAUACGUACUAAUAAAAGUGUAACAAAAUCCCAGUAUUCAUAAAGUGUUUGAAAAGCGCCUCCACCCGCGUCCCCAAAUCCCAACAGCUGCGCGCUGGAAUUUCCGCUCCCUCUGACCCCGCCUGCCUGCUUCCGGUUGGUUUCUGUGCCUAGGCCGGCGCCUCCCUUACUCUGGGUGCAGGGCGCUUUUUUUUUUCCCUCUUAAAUUCUUUUAUUGGUACGUUUUAGGUAUAAAUACAGUUACAUCCCUCAUUGGGAUCCUGCACCUUUAGUUUCUUGAUUGCAUCUCCUGUGACCUCCCCAUCGGUGUUCUCAGCUUUCUCUGUGUGAAGACGUGCUGUCCUCCUUCCUGGGUCUCCUGGUCCCUUCAGCAUGGCUGUGAGGUGCGACCCGACACAAAGAGGAAACAGCAUCGCCACUGCUUGUCAGGAUUGGCAAUAAACACUAGCUGUAACAUGGUGCACUUUUCUCCAGGAGCUGCUUGCAGUGAAUGACCUCAUAGUGAUCUGUAAAAUUGUAUAUUUUUGUCUAAUGAAGUAGUCAUUAAAAAUUCAAAGCCUCAAAUUCACAGCAAUCCUCCUGCCUCAGCCUCCUGAGUGCUGGAAUGACCACCACGCCUGGCUUCACUGUUUAUAUUUUAUGAGUCCAUGUCUGCAGUACAUGAUUGCAUUCCUCAUGGGGAGUUGGUCCACGCACGUAAUACAUCUGAAGUCCUUUUUCUUCCCUCUCUUCUCCCCCUCCAUCUCUUCCUAUGUGGGGAGUUGGUAUAUGCGCAGCAUAUCUUUUUGUUUUGUUUUGUUUUUUGUUUUUUUGAGACAGGAUCUUGCUAUUUGUUCUAGUUGGC